rnacentral:lncRNA from 1 species
GGGGGAGGUGGGGGGGUGGCGAGCGCCUGGGUGCAGCGGGGUCCGCGUGCGUCACUCCGGAGCAGUUAAAACGCAGCCUGCCCGGUCGCCCGCCCCUGGGCAACUGAGUCCGAACUUCCAGGCCUGAGGCCUGAGGGAAGGUCUUCUCUGAGGGCACCGGGCAGUGCAGCUGCGCGAUGCCACCCCCUUCUGCAGUGUGGACCGCCGUGUCUCGGCUGGAGGGCCGGCCCUAAGCUUGCAGGAGACGUAGGCAAUGAAAAUAAUAGGCUUGCCAUGAAAGUGAAGAGGAUGAGAAUGAGAAUUUGAGGAUGCAGCAUUUACAGUAGAUUGGACCAAAAUUAAUCAAUUGCUCAGUCUGAGCAUGGAGGAUUCAGGUAAGGCAUCCUAUUUCAGAAUCACAUGAACUUCUCAAGUAUUCAUAUGACAUUUGGUUACAUAGUAUUUUAAGGUG